rnacentral:rRNA from 1 species
GUUGAACGCUGGCGGCAGGCCUAACACAUGCAAGUCGAACGAGUGGCGGACGUGUGAGUAAUGUAUGUGAAACUGCCUGAAGGGGGGGAAUAACUUCGGGAACGGGUAGCUAAUACGCAAUAGCAUGAGGUGUACGCAGAUGGGAUUAGCUUGUUGGUGGGGUAGCGGCUCACCAGGGCGACGAUCCCUAGCUGGUCUGAGGGUGUGACCGUCCACACUGGAACUGAGACACGGCCCAGACUCCUACGGGAGGCAGCAGUGGGGAAUAUUGCACAAUGGGCGAAAGUCUGAUCCAGCCAUGCCGCGUGUAUGAAGAAGGCUUUCGGGUUGUAAAGUACUUUCAUCGGGGAGGCGUUACCCGAAGAAUAAGCAACGGCUAACUCCGUGCCAGCAGCCGCGGUAAUUC